CCCGCUGAACUUAAGCAUAUCAAUAAGCGGAGGAAAAGAAACCAACAGGGAUUGCCUUAGUAACGGCGAGUGAAGCGGCAAAAGCUCAAAUUUGAAAUCUGACAUCUCUGAUGUUCGAGUUGUAAUUUGGAGAGACAUCUUCUGGAGGGACCCAGCCUAUGUGCCUUGGAACAGGACAUCAUAGAGGGUGAGAAUCCCGUUCUUGGCUGGAUGUUCCCUCCUCCAUGUAGUGUCUUCUACGAGUCGAGUUGUUUGGGAAUGCAGCUCAAAAUGGGUGGUAAAUUUCAUCUAAAGCUAAAUACUGGCGAGAGACCGAUAGCGCACAAGUAGAGUGAUCGAAAGAUGAAAAGCACUUUGAAAAUAGAGUCAAAAAGUACGUGAAAUUGUUGAAAGGGAAGCGCUUGAGAUCAGAGUCAGCCUUUGGCAAACAACUGUCCUUAUGGGCAGUGCACUUGUCAUUGGUUGGGUCAGCAUCGGUUGGGACGGUGGGAUAAAGACCUGGGAAAUGUGACUCCUUUAUGGAGUGUUAUAGUCCCGGGUGGCAUGCCAUCAGUCUCGACCGUGGACCGCGCCUCGGCUCGGAUGCUGGCUUAAUGGUCUUCAGCGACCCGUCUUGAAACACGG
rnacentral:rRNA from 1 species